UACGAAGGGGGCUAGCGUUGUUCGGAAUUACUGGGCGUAAAGGGCGCGUAGGCGGUCUUGUAAGUCAGAUGUGAAAGCCCCGGGCUCAACCCGGGAAUAGCAUUUGAUACUGCGAGGCUUGAGUCCGGGAGAGGAUGGCGGAAUUCCCAGUGUAGAGGUGAAAUUCGUAGAUAUUGGGAAGAACACCGGUGGCGAAGGAGGCCAUCUGGACCGGUACUGACUAUGAGGCGCGAAAGCGUGGGGAGCAAACAGG
rnacentral:rRNA from 1 species